rnacentral:rRNA from 1 species
GUGGGGGAUAUUGCACAAUGGGGGAAACCCUGAUGCAGCGACGCCGCGUGAGUGAUGAAGUAUUUCGGUAUGUAAAACUCUAUCAGCAGGGAAGAAAAUGACGGUACCUGACUAAGAAGCUCCGGCUAAAUACGUGCCAGCAGCCGCGGUAAUACGUAUGGAGCAAGCGUUAUCCGGAUUUACUGGGUGUAAAGGGAGCGUAGACGGUGAGGCAAGUCUGAUGUGAAAGGUGUGGGCUCAACCCGCAAACUGCAUUGGAAACUGGUUCACUUGAGUGUCGGAGAGGUAAGUGGAAUUCCUAGUGUAGCGGUGAAAUGCGUAGAUAUUAGGAGGAACACCAGCGGCGAAGGCGGCUUACUGGACGAUAACUGACGUUGAGGCUCGAAAGCGUGGGGAGCAAACAGG